GAUGAAGAACGUAGCGAAAUGCGAUAAGUAGUGUGAAUUCCAGAAUUCAGUGAAUCAUCGAAUCUUUGAACGCACAUUGCGCCCUUUGGUAUUCCUUAGGGCAUGCCUGUUCGAGCGUCAUUUAAACCUUCAAGCUAAGCUUGGUGUUGGGUGACUGUCCGCUUCACGGCGGACUCGCCUCAAAAUUAUUGGCGGCCGGUACAUUGGCUUCGAGCGCAGCAGAAACGCGAACUCGGGCCCGUCGUAUUGGCUCCCAGAAGCUAUCUUCACAAUUUUGACCUCGGAUCAGGUAGGGAUACCCGCUGAACUUAAGCAUAUCAAUAAGCGGAGGA
rnacentral:misc_RNA from 1 species